ensembl:lncRNA SNHG14 small nucleolar RNA host gene 14
UAGCUGGUAGCCCGCCUCUGGUUGCCAAUUUGUUCUUGAGUCCUUGUUCUGAGUUCCUGGAAGGAAACAGAUUUGUCUGGUUGGGAGGAGAAUACAAGGCCACAUCUUUGUCGUUUGUUGGCUAACUUUGUCCUUGGUUGAGGACAUUAGAGUUUUGGUCACCAGGCAUAGCCUAUGUGCCUGUGUGCCCGUGUUGUAUCCCAUGUGUUUGGGGGACAUGUACAUUGCAUGAACUAGUGAGCUCCUGCUCAUUGCUUCUGAUACCCAAGGAGUCCCUGGCUUAUCCUAAACCCAAUAUAGGUUAAAGCCUUUCUCAUUAGGGGCCCAGGGUCCCAAGGCUUUUGUGAGUAUCAUUGUAGGUAUUGAAGCAACGAUGUUGAGAAGGAUGCUGAACAUGCUCUUUAGUGGGAUGACGUACUCUGAAGGCUCCUGACCCCCAGAUGAGCAUCCUUGUGUCCGUUAACUUCUGUGUUUAUGAACAGGUGAGGCCAGAGACAGGCAGACAGCAGAUGUAUUGCAGGGAGCUGGAUGACAUGGCCCUUGGAACCUGUGCACAUGCCUGCCUUUCUGAUGCACGUCCAUGUUUUCUCUGCACCUCCCCGGUGGUGUUGGUAUAAAAAGCAGGCUUACAUCAGCAAGGGAUGAUUGUCGUCUCAUGCGAUCCUGGGAGAUGGCAGAAGUCCCGGGACACAUGGAGUGUGGGCUCUUUCGGAGGCUGUUGGAUCCCUCCUGAAUGUGUUGUGGCCAUGGAAGUAAGGCCAGUGGCUACGAGGGACAGUCUUCAUCUUGGGAGAUCCCUAGAGAGGGCAGGGAGCCCCUUGACAUGUGGAAUGUGAUCUCUGUUGGGUGCUGGUGGAUCCCACAGGUGGUCUGGCAUGGAAGAAGGCCAGAGGCUGCGAUGGAUCAUCUUUGUCUUGGGAGAUUCCUGGAGAUGGUGGGGAGCCCCUGGGCACGUGCAGCAUAUGUGGCGUGGGCUUCUUCAGGUGCUGGUGGAUCCCUCAGGAUGCUUUUCAAGGUUUUUCUAUGAGUUCUGUUAAAGAGUCUGAAAAUGGAGCGUAGAAGACAUGCUUCGAUUUCCAGGAUGGUUGUGUUUUCCAGAGAGGCGGAGUUCAUUGUGGAACCAGCACAGAUUUUCAUACGAAAGUUAUUUCUUUUUAACCUCAAAAAGUGACAGAAUGGAGUGUAUCAUGAAAAAGUCUGACAUCAAAACCUCAAAAUGUGAUAUUGAUUGGGUGAGAUAGAAUUCCAUGGAAUUUCAUUGCCAAACCAGUGAAGUGCUAAUUUUGACAUUUGUACCAGCUAACGUAGCUGUGAAGAAACACACCAAUACACUUCUAAGGACAGCAUAGACCAAGAUCUAGGUUUCAUAUGGAUGAAUUUAUUCUUCCCUUUGAGGCAAGACAAGAAGGAAAGAAAGUAUUGGGAAUAAUGCUGCCCUCCCAUCCUCAAGGGCCAGUGGGAACUCUAAUAUUGAUUGGGUGAGAUACAAUUCCAUGGAAUUUUACCACUGAACCAGUGGAGGGCUAAUUUUGUCAUUUGUACCAGUUAACUAACUUGGGAGGAAACAGAACAACACACUCCUGAGAUUGGUUUUCACAGAAUUCCAUGGACUUUAACUGCUGAACCAAUGAUGCACUGAUUUUGUCACUUGUACCAGCUAACGCAUCUGGGAGGCAACAAAACAAUACUCUCCUGAGGUUAAUGUGGACCAAAAACUAGAUUUCAUAUAAAAGAGUUUAUUCCUUCUACUUGAGGUGUGACAUGAAGGAAAGUAAUGGAAAUAAUUCUGCCCUCCCAUUCUCAAGGGCCAGGGGGAAUUCAAAUAUUGAACGGAAGUGAUUUUGGAAUUGCAUGGAAUUCUCACUGCCAUCCCAAAGAAAUGCUGAUCUUGUCACUCUUACCUGUUUCAUUCCCUGGGGGCAGAACAAAAGGACGCACUCCAAAGAUCGGCAUGAACCAAGAACUGGGUUUCAUAUAAAAUAUUUUAUUCUGUCCUCUUGAGAUGUGACAUGAGAAAAGUAUUGAGAAUACUUCUAUCACCUCAUCUUCAAGAAUCCGUAGGAAUUCUCCCAUGGUGGACUUUACGGUUAACCUGAACAGGUCUUGGAAAAAGGACUUUAAACAUUCUCCUGUUCUGUGGAAUAAGUAUACUUUUUUCUGGACAUACACCUUGUCAGUGAGUUCCAUGUGAUACUAGAGUUGCAUAGAUUUUUAACCUUUACGCCAAUGAAGAUCUGAGGCAAACAUUGCCCCUUUUUUAGAAGUUUGCAUUUGUCACUGAUAACUGUAAUAAUUGAUCUUGUUGAAAAGCCUGGGAAAUGAAGAUCUGAUAUGUCACUUUUACCGGCUUCCUCAACUGAAAAAGAAUACAAUGAAACACGCUGAGAAUUUUUGUGCUUUCUCAGUCUUGCUGAUGAUCUUUCUAUGGGCCUGAAGCGUGGAGAGUGCCAGAGAGGCUGAUCCUCAGCAGUGUGGCAGAGGAAAGUUGGGUGCGACUAAGGGGUAUGCGGUGCCCACAUGCCACUGGGUCCUCAGCAGUACCACCUGAUUGGAAGUGAUAUUGGUGGAAGACAACAUUUUGCCGCUUGGAAUUCUCACCUCCACACCAAAGAAGUACUGUUUUUGUCAUUUGCACCAGCUUCUUUCUCCAGGAAAGAUCAAAACGAUGCACUGCAAGUGUGAUUGGUCCAGAUAGCUGCCUUAUCCAACUGCCUCCUUUGGACCACUUCAUCAUGGGACAGCUUGAUGCAAUCUACUUGACAAGACCCUGGAACCCCACACCCCUCAUGGAACCAGUGUCCACCUCCCAGUCACAGUGUGACCCCAGGGAACUCUUGCCUGCUUGCUUUAAACCCACCACUUAAAAGUCUCCACAGAAAACCUGUUUGAAUAGUACCCUUGACCCAAUAAGGGCAUUGGCCCCUGGGUGUCUCUCUCUCUCUCUCUCUCUCUCUCUCCCUCUCUCUCCCUCUCUCUCUCUCGCUCCCUGACCUCUGCGUGUGGACUCCAGGCAUGCCAUAUACCCCUCAGGACCUGAAGCAAAAGAAUGAAUUAAAGAAAACUCCAGAGAAUGAGCUGACAACCUACUCCCUGGUCAGUGGCUCUCCAUGCCUACCUGUGGUCUCUUGGACACCCUUGCAGAAGAUGACUUCCUGGGAACUCUUCUGGGAGUGAAUGUUAUCAGCAAAUUCCCAAAACAACACCCCUUAGACAAAAAGCCUCCUCACCUAUGCAUUGCCUAGACCACCCACUAAAGGUGAUGGCCACAAAGAGGUGGAUUUGUUGAGUUGGUGCCAUUCCUUCUACUGCCAGCUUCACCAAAACAAUGACACAGUCUUCCUUCCGCAUGGAGACUCUUCUCUUUCCUGUGUUGCAGUGGAUGCCUCCUGCAGAUAAGAAAUGCUUAACUGAGAAAUGCUCAUGUUGGGAUAUCAUCGAUGAGACUUUAAUUUGGGCAUGGUGACUGUUUCCCUUGCUGCCACUUGACUCAAUCCCAGGAGCCUCAGUAGAGGAUAUAAUAUUACACAAGAUGCUCAAAAUGGUGGAAUUGCUCAGUGCUCCCAUAAAUAUACAUUUAUAAUUUUCAUUUGCCACAUGGUAAACUGAAAAAUACAGACUAUAUUAAAAAGAAACUGCAUGAUUUUUUUUCAAAAAUUCAAAGCAUAUUUAAAUAAUAUAUAAAUUAAAUGCCCUCCUCUCUUCCAAUUCUGUCCCUAUAGUUUUCCUCUAUUAAGUGAACUACAUGCAUUCUUUUAGUGGAUAGAUGCACACAAACACACAAGCCAUUAUGGGGAAGGAUCCACGUGUGUGGCCAUAUUGUAACACAUUUUUCUGCAAAUCACCUCUUUCAUUUAACAGCCCUUAUUCAAUGGCCUUUUUCUUUUUCAGUAGUACAUACACAUCUGUGUCAUUUGUUGAAUGACGACAUGAAUGUUUUGUAGAUAAAAUAUAAUUAAAUGUUUUAAGCAUUUCUCACUCAUAGAUAUUUAUGUUAGCACCAAAUUUCUGUGCAAUGAACCUCCCUAUAUAUCAGUAAUUUUGCAUUUGUCUAUAAUAUCAUAAUAAAUUACUUAUCAGUUGAAUUACUGGGAUUAAGUAUGUGCACACUUUAUAUUUAUAUUUUGAAAAUUAUUGCAAGAUUGCCUUCAAAAAUGUGGUUAACAACUUUAUCUUCAAAUGGCAAUGAAUGAGAUUGCCAGCUUUCCUACAGCCUCACAGACAAUGGAUUUUAUAAAUAUUUAACAUUUUUGCCAAUGUGAUCACCCAAACUAUUGUCUUAAAUUGUAUCUCUUUUGUUUUUGAGUUUGGUCAUUUUUUCAUGUUUAUUAGCCAUCUGUAUUUUUUAAUUUCUUCUUUAUGUCCAAUUUUGUGGGUGGGAGGAGGAUUUAGUCUCUUCCUGAUUUCGAAGAGCUCAUUUACUAUUUCGGGAAAUAAGAUUUGGAUUGUCAACCAUUAUAGCUAUUUUUUACACACUUUUCAACUUUGUUUUUGUUAUAAGAAUGUGUAUGAUUGUUACAUGUCCAAGUAUAACCAUGUUCGCUUUUAUGGCUUCUGAGUUUCAUGUCAUUUUUGGAAAGAUAUAUAUAUUGAGUCCAUAAAACCCUUCACCUAUGUUAAAUUCUAAUUCUUUUGUGUUUUUUUAAUUCAAAUUCUUAAAUCAUGAGAAAUUUUUUUGUUUUGAAAUCUUAAAGUUGCCAAGUUACUUGCCAUUACUUGCGAUUAUUUGCCAAUAAUUGCCCAUUUAUCUGUACCGCCAUCUUGCGCAUAUGCUGUACUCUCAUCUGUGACUGGCUCCAUUUUUGUUCUGUGGAUUUGUGUGUCUCUUCUUCUGCCUCCUGUCUCGUGUCUGCUCGUUGGAAGAAAUUACAGUUUAGACUGCAAUUUCAUCAACUUUAAUAAAUCAAUUGAGGGGAGAAUUGGUUUUUAAAAAUAUUAAGUAAGUCUUCGUAUCCAAGGACAAGGUAUGUCUUUUCUUAUUCAAUAAUUUUAAUUACUGUUAAUAUUUUCACUGUGGUGAUGGGAGUUUUUCUUUUAAUUUAUUUUCUUGUUCAUUUUUUGUAUCUAAAGUUUUUGUUUUGUUUUGUUUUGGGGGUAAGUUGUCACCUUACUGUUUCUUGUUGCUUUUCAGAUUUUUUCAAAGUAUAGACUAAAUCCUUCACAAAUAUUUAAAGUUUUUAUUUUCCCCCUUCAUAUUGAUCCUGAUUUUAGUUAUGUUGACAAAGUCCACAGACUGUUACUAUCAGAACACUUGAACAGUUAUGGAAAUAUUACCUACCCUUGAUUUAAUCAGAGUUUAAUGGUAUGCUUCUUUGGUUUGACUGGCACAUUGUCGCUGGUCAUUUCCUCCCAAAGACCACCAGAAAGAGCUAUGAUCAAGCAAAGCUGAGUUUGUUAAACUUACCUGCAGCAAGGGAAAACACCACCUUGAUAGGGUUUAAUAAUGUUUCAAAAUCAAGAAAUGAGGCUUUGGGGUCUGGGCAGGGAACUAAUUAGAAAUGGGCAAAAUUUGUCAUGCAAUACCUUGUGGGAAAGUGAGAUGAGGUUCUUAAUGUGAGUAUUGAUGGUGAAAUCAUUUUCUAGGUGAGCUGUUUGCCUAUAUAAAGAUGUUAUCAAUGACAGAAGAACUAUUUGCCUAGAUAAACAAACUGAAUUUAUUUAUUGGUUUACAGUUUUAUCUUGCUGGGCAGGACUCUGCUGGGGGUGGUAUCAGGUCUUAUUCCCAAUAGGUAAGUUAUUUGGAUAUGGGUGGUCUUAAUCAUCAAUGUGUAAAAUGCUGAUUUUAAGUGCGAAAUACUUUGUCUACCAUGUUAGGAAAGUCUGCCACCUUUUAUCUUUUUUAAGGAAUUUUAAUCAAAACCAGGUGGUAGAUAUAAUCAAAUUGUUUUGCAGAAUCAAUUUUCCUGUUCUCUUUAAAGACUUUUAUCACUGUGAAUUAAUUUACUAUUAUUGCAACUUCCUUUAAUUCCUUGAAUGAACAGACCCUACUGGUUUUAAAAAUGUUUUAUUCUUUUAAUUUACUACUUAAUUGUGGGUAUUUUAAUUUGAUUUGGAAUUUUUACAAGUAUACAACUAAGUGAAAUUGAUCUGUGAUUUUUCUUUUUUGUGCUAUUUUUGUCAUGUUUUGAUAUCAGAUAUUCUGGUUGUGUUAAAAUAAUUUUGAGGAUUUUCUUCUUAUACUGUGUUCUAGAGUGGGUAAAAAAGCCCUAGUCUCACUAUCAGUGUUUAAGUGAACACAUCAGUGACAUCAUCUGGACUCUCCUUUGUUUUUGCUGGUUUGGAGUUAGGACAUCUAGAAGUUUUUUUCUUUUUUUCCUUUUUUUGUAUGGUUAUUGCUUGUUCUUUGUUUUGUGUCAAAUUUAACCUGUUUUCUCUUAGCAAAUCACAGCUCAUGCAGAUUUUCAAACACAUUAGCCUUGUUAUACAAAGUGUUCUUUCAUCAUUCUAUUAAAUUUCCAUUUUCAUUCCAGUUAUAGUUAUUUCUGCUGUGCCUUUGUUAAUGAAUAAGUUUAAACAGUGGAUGUUUAGCAUCACUAGCCUUCCCCUUCCAUCUCCCUUAAUCAGGACCUUGGUAUAAUUUAUCAGGUAUUUUUUAAGGUUCUAAUUUACUUAUAUAUAUUGUUUCUGUAUUCUUUUGUUUCUUUUCUUAAUAAAUUCUUAAA